UCUGGCGGUGGGGUCUAGAAACAGAGAUGGAAAUGAGAACCCCGGCCUGGGGGCGGCCCAGUCCCCAGGGCCCACCAGGGGCCAGGAAUUCCUCCUCGCACCCUCUAGGACCUCACCUUCUCAGGCCCGUGAGGUGCUGGCGUCUGGGCCAUUUCAGUGCCUGGGCUCCCGCCCAGAGCCAGCCAGUGACUUCUGGUAUCGCAUGGACCAGAAGGCCUGACGGCUUGCUCAACAGCUAGCUCUAGAAACAAAGCUCUCACUCCCCACGGAAGCCAAUCCUCUCCAGGUGCGGAGUUCCAACAGUGAGGACACCCUCCCUGGGAGCUUCACCAUGACCCUCACUCUGCCCCUGGGCCUUGAUCCCACCCGGCCAGAGAAGUCAGUACACACCCGGGACACAUCACUUAAAACUGCUCCAGCCUCAGUUCCCCUGUGCAGAACGGGAAUACCAGUACCAGCGGUCUCAGGGGACGCUGUGGAUGAAGCGUGCUUAGAAGAGCACCUGGCACUUCCUAAGUGCCACCACCGAUAACGGCACAGGCGCAACGGACUGGAAACACGUUCAAACAGAAACCUGCACACGAAUAUUCACAGCGGCCAAAAGGCCCAUCAGGUGCUGAGUCGAUACACAAAACGUGGCGCAGCCAUUGGUUGGGACAUUAUUUGGCCACGAGAAGGAACGUGCAACCUGGAUGAACCUUGCACGCUGUGCUAAAUGAAAAGAAGGCAGCCAGAGAAGAACGCACGUUGUAUAGCGCCCCCCAGGUGAACAGGGCCCACGUCUCCUUUCGGGGCAAUGGCCCAGCUGGGUGGGGUGGCUGUACAAGACUGAGGGUGCUAAGAGGUCACCCAACUGUACUCUCUAAGAUGGUUCAGAUGGCGACUUCCCUCUAUGAAUUUUCCCACAAUAGAAAAAAAAGAUUACCGUUAAAAGAAAGAAACAGGGACCAUCCUGUGGUUAUUGCCAACCUACAGAGAAGGGUCAGAGGGACAAGGGGUGAAGUGAUCUGAUUCCCCAAGGUCCUGGACCAAGGCAGGGUUUGAAUCUAGUGUUUCUGAAAUGCAAGUUCCUUUUAUUUUUAUUUAUUUAUUUAUUUGACAGAGAGGGGGUGGGGAGAGAGCCUAAGAGGGGACAGUGGCAGGGAGAAGGAGAGGGAGAAGCAGGCUCCUCGCUGAGCAGAGGGCCAGCUGUGGGGCUCCAUCCCAGGACCCUGGGAUCAUGACCUGAGCCGAAGGUGGACACUCAACCGACUGAGCCACCCAGGUGCCCCCAAGUUCCCUUUUCUUUAGUCACUGUCUCUCCUUUCUAUCCCUCCACACCACCUUUCUCUACUGUGAAGCAUCCGCUGGACCGUUUGCUGAAAAUAAGUGACAAGUGAUGUGGGAAGCGUCCCUCGGAGGGGGGAGGCCCAGACUCUGGCGUUCGGCUCCAGGAACCCUGGCCUGCUAUUCCUGCCUCCAAUCCUGCCCCGUUGGUGCUCCAGCUCUGUGUGUGCCCAGGAGAUGACCAUGAGCAGAGCCCUGUGGCUGUGUAGUGAAGGAAAGGGAACCCCUCACAGCUGGACGGGGUGCGUCCUCGAGCAGAGCUGCGCUGAAGAAGCCAGACCCUGGACUGUGAGAUUAGGAGGAGGCCGGGGAUAUGCCUUCCUCCCAGGGACAAGCUCUCUCCCUCCUGUGUGGUAGAGGAAGGGUCAGGACCACACUCACAGGGGGAACCCCGGGAACUGCCUGGCCAAACCCGUGCUGGGGGCAGGAAGGGGAAACCCAGCACAAGAUGGGGCCACAUGCUGCACCGGAACCCCCAGCCGGGGCUCUCCUUGGUCUCAAGCACUCUGAUGUGGGAUGUGGGCUCCCCUAUCAUUUGCUAUAAUGGACUGAUUUCUUUUGCCCCCUCUUCCUUCCUGGAUUUCUUUUUCUCAACAUCUUUACAGAAAGGAAGGAGAGCGGUCCCUCUGGAUCAGAGCAGAGUGUGUAUCUGGGGGAAGGGGAGAGAACAGACGAUCUCCUGGGCCUCUAGGAACGCAUACAAUCUCCGCGGAGUGCUCUACACCAGUAUUUUUCAAACUGUAGUCUGUGACCCACUGGCGGAUCAUGGAAGCAAUCCAGUAGGUCGGGACUAGCAUUUUUAAACGUUACACAAUAGUACAGAACAGAAAGCAUUAGAGCACAUCCCAUGUAACAAGUGUAAUUUGCUGUGCAAAACUAUCACUUUAGUCACAAUUAGGUAUGUCCAUGUGUAUAUACUGUAGACUAGAUAUAAAAUAUAUUUCUCAGGGGGUAGUGGUCAAAAAUUGAAACCACCGUGAGGAUGGCUAUUAUAUUACGGAAAAAAGUGAGGAUGAAUAUGUAAAGAAAACAGAGCCCCUGCGCACUGUUGGUGGGAAUGCAGGACGGCGUAGCCCACCAUGGAAAAUUGCAGAGUGACUCCUCAAAACAUAAAAAAAUAGAAUGACCGGGACCCUGGGUGGCUCAGUGGUUUGGCGCCUGCCUUCGGCCCAGAGCAUGAUCUUGGAGUUCCGGGAUCGAGUCCCACGUCAGGCUCCCUGCAUGGAGCCUGCUUCUCCCUCUGCCUGUGUCUCUGCCUCUCUCUCUCUCUCUGUAUCUCUCAUGAAUAAAUAAAAUCCUUUUUUAUUUUUUAAUUUUCUUAAAAAAAAUCCAGAAUGACCAUAUGAUCCAGCAAUUCUGCAGCUGGGGUUAUUUUACAUUAUGUUGUAUUUUAUCACCAUGGAAGUUUUUUAAAAGAAGUUGAAAAGGUCCUUUUGCAUCUGGAUCUACGACUCACUGGUAGGUGAAGACCCCCUUUCCACGUGAGCUAUGAACGCCCCACAGGUGGGCCUGCCUUCUUCUCUCUGCCUCUGCCCCACCCAUGACACCCUGACUCUCCUGUUAACGAACCAGGGGACACACAGGAGGGCUCACUAAAGACAAAAAAAUCAUGAUGACUGAUUUCCAGUCACUUUAUAGCUUUAAAAUGUUUUAUUUUUUUCAUUGAAGUAUUAUAACGUCAUUACAAAAAGAGCCUAGAGGGAUCCCUGGGUGGCUCAGGGGUUUAGUGCCUGCCUUUGGCUGAGGGUGUGACCCCGGGGUCCCGGGAUCAAGUCCCACAUCAGGCUCCCUGCAUGGAGCCUGCUUCUCCCUCUGCGUGUGUCUCUGCUUCUCUCUCUCUCUGUGUGUCUAUUAUGAAUAAAUAAAUAAAAUCUUAAAAAAAAAAAAA